rnacentral:rRNA from 1 species
GAUGAACGCUGGCGGCGUGCCUAACACAUGCAAGUCGAACGGGAUGCGUAUCGGAAAGCUUCGGCCGGAAGAUGCGUUAUCUAGUGGCGGACGGGUGAGUAACACGUGGGUAACCUGCCUUAUGGAGGGGGAUAACAGAGAGAAAUCACUGCUAAUACCGCAUAAGCACACAGUACCGCAUGGUACAGGGUGAAAAGAUUUAUCACCAUAAGAUGGACCCGCGUCUGAUUAGCCAGUUGGCAGGGUAAAAGCCUACCAAAGCAACGAUCAGUAGCCGAUCUGAGAGGAUGACCGGCCACAUUGGGACUGAGACACGGCCCAAACUCCUACGGGAGGCAGCAGUGGGGAAUAUUGCACAAUGGGGGGAACCCUGAUGCAGCGACGCCGCGUGAGUGAAGAAGUAUUUCGGUAUG